GAUGAACGCUGGCGGCGUGCCUAAUACAUGCAAGUCGAGCGAACAGACGAGGAGCUUGCUCCUCUGACGUUAGCGGCGGACGGGUGAGUAACACGUGGAUAACCUACCUAUAAGACUGGGAUAACUUCGGGAAACCGGAGCUAAUACCGGAUAAUAUAUUGAACCGCAUGGUUCAAUAGUGAAAGACGGUUCUGCUGUCACUUAUAGAUGGAUCCGCGCCGCAUUAGCUAGUUGGUAAGGUAACGGCUUACCAAGGCAACGAUGCGUAGCCGACCUGAGAGGGUGAUCGGCCACACUGGAACUGAGACACGGUCCAGACUCCUACGGGAGGCAGCAGUAGGGAAUCUACCGCAAUGGGCGAAAGCUUGACGGAGCAACGCCGCGUGAGUGAUGAAGGUCUUCGGAUCGUAAAACUCUGUUAUUAGGGAAGAACAAAUGUGUAAGUAACUAUGCACGUCUUGACGGUACCUAAUCAGAAAGCCACGGCUAACUACGUG
rnacentral:rRNA from 1 species